CCCCGGAAGAGACGGGAUCACGUGACUUCCUGUAGCUGGCCUGGAGGUGCUGGCAGGUGAGCUGCGUUGACGUGGAAGGAGUCGGUGGGAAGCUUUUGAGCGCGUGAAGAGGGAGUGAGAAGAGCAAUGACCUAAACUAACUUCCAGCUUUUGAGGCCAAGGGCCAGAAAGAGGGCGAGGCCAGAAGUAUGGCUAUGCCUGGGAUUUUGCAAAGGCAGCCUGCAAACAGGUCCCUUGUGUCCCAUUGCACUCAUCACCACAUUGCUGUGUUCCUGCUUACCUUCUUCAGUUACUCCCUGCUCCAUGCUUCCAGAAAGACAUUCAGCAAUGUUAAGGUCAGCAUUUCCAGCCAAUGGACUCCUUCCUACCUAAAUACCACGGCCCUUGAGCUCCAGCCAUAUGAGCUCUGGAACAGUAGCCAUUUAUUUCCCAAUGCAGAAGAUGCCACUCUUUUCCUGGGGACGUUGGACACUAUCUUUCUCUUUUCCUAUGCUGUGGGUCUCUUUGUCAGUGGCAUAGUUGGUGAUCGCCUGAAUUUACGAUGGGUCUUGUCUUUCGGCAUGUGCUCCUCUGCUUUAGUGGAGUUUGUAUUCGGCACUCUCACAGAAUGGCUGCAUUUCUACGACAAAUGGUUCUACUGCUGUCUAUGGGUUGUGAAUGGCUUGCUGCAAUCCACUGGCUGGCCCUGUGUUGUUGCCAUCAUGGGCAACUGGUUUGGAAAAGCUGGGAGGGGUUUUGUUUUUGGACUCUGGAGUGCCUGUGCAUCAGUGGGGAACAUUCUGGGAGCGUUCCUUGCCUCCUGUGUUCUGCAGUAUGGCUAUGAGUAUGCCUUCCUGGUGACAGCGUCGGUGCAGUUUGCUGGAGGAAUCAUUGUCUUCUUUGGACUUCUGAUUUCCCCGAAAGAAGUGGGCCUCCCUGAGCUUGGAGAUGAACAGGACGGCAGUGCUGAAGAAGAUGCAAACAAACCCUUAAUGAGCAAUAAUGAGGAGGAUGAAGAUGAUCAAAAUUACUCUAUUCAAGCACCUGAUACUAUCAACCAGCCCAAGCCCAUUGGCUUUUUCCAAGCUUGUUGUCUACCAGGUGUUCUACUGUAUUCACUGGCCUAUGCCUGCUUGAAACUAGUGAAUUACUCCUUCUUCUUCUGGCUGCCGUUCUACCUCAGCAACAACUUUGGAUGGAAGGAGGCUGAAGCUGACCAGCUUUCGAUUUGGUACGAUGUGGGUGGAAUCAUAGGUGGGACAAUCCAAGGCUUGAUUUCUGAUAUGCUACAGAAGCGAGCUCCAGUGCUAGCGAUCAGCUUGCUUCUGGCUGUAGGGUCUCUCUUUGGAUACAGUCGUUCUCCAAACAGCAAACCCAUCAACGCGUUCAUCAUGGCCAUUACAGGAUUUUUCAUUGGAGGCCCAUCUAACAUGAUCAGCUCGGCGAUUUCCGCUGACCUGGGACGUCAAGAAUUGGUCAAAGGGAACAGUGAGGCUCUGGCAACAGUCACAGGAAUUGUGGACGGAACUGGGAGCAUUGGAGCUGCAGUGGGCCAGUAUCUAGUUUCCUUGAUCCAGGACAAUCUGGGAUGGAUGUGGGUUUUCUAUUUCUUCAUUCUUAUGACCAGUUCAACAAUCCUGUUCAUCUCACCCUUACUAGUGAGGGAAAUUAGAUUGCUCCUGCAUGAGAGACACUUGCGUAUGCGGACUGGGUGACUGCCACUUCCCUUCAGAGGGACUGUCCAAGGAAAAUCAACAACUGGGAGACAAAUCAAAAUUCUGGGAGGUUUAUGUUUGUUUUCUUUUCUCCCUCUCCUGCCCUGCAAGUUUGGACUAAUUCAGAAUGUCCCACAAGAUUUUGCAGAACAGCCUUUGAGAACUUGCUGUUGGAAUACUAAAUGCCCAAAUGGAUUCAGGCCUUCUGCAACAUGGAGCUGCUAUUCCAAGAUAGAGGAAUUUAAUCAGUUUGGCUGUAGUCCCACCAGAGCCUUUCAAGUCAGCAAGUGCACUCUUUCCUCCUGGUUUGGGGUCCCAUUGCCAUAACCUAUACUGAUUAUUUCUGGAUGUCCUGGCAAGUGUCAGAUAUUUAAAACCUGAAGAUGGGGAGUCAGUCUUACAGUGAAUGGGAGAAGAAUGUUGUCACCUCCCCGUUUGCCUGCGUGGGUGGUUGGAUCGGAUAUGUGUAGCGUCAGAGCAAAGUAUUCAGACUGUUAGACGUUACUAAACACAGGGUGUUUGCCUCUCCUAGUGCCUUCAUCCCAUGAUCUUAACAUGCCCUGCAACCACCCUGUGGAUAAACAGGCACAGAGUAGUUGGGAGAGUUGGCCAAGGCCACACACUGAGCUAGGAACGGAAUCCAGGAGUUUCAACUCUAAUCAUCAGACAAUACAACUACCCUACUGUCACUAGAACUACAGAGCCAUAACCCAGCCUGCAGCUACUCCACGCUGCAGGCAGAAGUCUGUGGUGCAAUCAUGUGACAAGCCUGAGACAUCAAGAAGAGAAGACUAUCUUCUUUACCAGAAAAUCUGGCCUGGCCCAGCUGUUUAAAUUACCAGUCCAGGGGGCUUUCAGGUGUGGUCCCUCAGCUCUCUGAAUGGCAGUGUUAGAGAGCGCUGCAGAGAAAACACCAAACUUCUGGAUGGGGAUCCUUCAUCUGAGCCAUUUCCCUCUGGCUGACCAAGGCGCAAUGGUAAUAGGAUCUGGUGUGAGCUACCCCCCGAGUCCUUUGCAACCAGAAGGGAAGGGCAAUGUGAGGCCUUUGAAGGCAGGGGGAGGCAGGAUCUCACGGAAGAUUUUCCCCUCCACCAACAAUCUGCUUCAGCUCUCGUACCAGCACUGGGGUUUUGGCUCUCCUGCUGGCAGCUGGGCUUUACUGGCUUUGAUAGACUCAACAGUAGAGCGGAGAGUGAAAUGGUAACUGUAUUCAGAAGAAACACCUCUAAUUCUUAUAGGACAUUUAUACUUGUUAAUGCAACGGUGCUGUUUACACUCAGAAAAAUGCAAUUGUUUUAAGUGAGCAUUUUACAGCUUCCUUGAGGAAGUGGGGUCCUGGGGAGACAGCACUGGCCUGGGCCUCAGAAGGUCUGGGUUCUGCUCUCACAGACUUCCCGGCCAAGUUGCAUUGUUGCUACAUGCCUUGGUUCCUCAUCUAUAAAAUGGGGAUAAUACUGGUCUCUUCCUCCUACCCUUUGUCUUGUCCAUUUAGACUAAUCAGUUUCUUUCUAUGUGGGGUACAAUUAUCAUCCCCAUUUCCAUAGCAUUUGAGUGCCUCACAAUCUUAAUGUACUUCUCUCAUCUCUCUGUGGGGCAGGGAAGUGGUAUUAUCCCUAUUUUACAGAUGGGAAACUGAACCCAGACAUUCAGUGACUGGCCCAAGGUCAUAUAGGCAGUUACUCCUGGGGGAAUUCUGCACCACUGUGCAGGUGCAGAAUUUAUAUCCCCCGCAGAUUUCUUUGCUUCCCACAGAAAAAUGACUUUCUGACGGGGAAGCAAGGGAAGCCACAAGAGCAGUCAUGCGACCCUACACAGUAGUUAUGUUUUGGGUGCCCAGGGCAGCCAGCAGAGAGGUAAAUCACUGUGGGGCAGGGGCCCGGACUGGGGAAGACCUGGCUGAUGGCUCCUACCCUGUCGGGAUCAGCUGCUAGUCCCAUCUCGGCUGGGGACGAUGGGACUUCCUCUUCCCAUGCACGGCAUCCGGGGCUGAGUCAGAUUUCCCCCACUAGCUGGGGGAAGCUCUUGCAAACUCGCGCACACACUCUCUCUCUCUCUCUCUCCCCCCUCAGCUGCAGAGGGAGGGAUCCCUGUACAGGGAGCUGCUCCCCCAUUUGUCCAAUCCCUGUGCAUCCAGACCCUAUAGCUGAUCCUUGCCCCCCCCCACUCAGAAAAAAACCCUGCCAAGCCCCACACCUGCACCUGAGCCAUCCACACCCAGAUCCCCACCCCACUGAGCCCCAACCAGCUGCACCUGUAUCUCCACCCCACUGAGCCCCCUCCUCCCCCAGCAUCUGGACCCCCACUGAGCCCCAGGCUGAGCUCUAUCCCUUACCCAGAACUGCCCCCCCCCCCCGCUGAGCCCCAACCACCUUUACCUGAAUCCCCCUCCAGAGUCCCCUUACGCUUGAACCUAGAACUGCCCAACAAGCCUGUGCAUCUGGAUCACCCGCUCAGCUGCCUGCACCCAGAUUACCCCACACAGAACCCUCUCAGCUCACACCUGGACCCCCCACACUGAACCUCUCCACACUUGGAUCCUGCCUUGCUGAGUCUGCCUGCCCACACCUGGUCCACCUGGCAUGGAGGGGCAGGGCCCUGGCAUGUUUCUGGGACAGGCCCUAUCCUUGUGCUGUGUCAGGAUUGGGUGCAGCCUCACCACUGAAUCCAUGUCCUAAGUGGGGAGCUGCACAGUGAUCUCCCACCUCUGUGAAGCCAGUGGCCUUGUGCUCCCCAAUGCCGUGCUGGAGCCGCCACAUUUAUUUGGCAAAUAAAAUUUGCAGAAUUGUGCAGAAUUUUAAAAUAGUGUGCAGAAUUUUUAAUUUUUUGGCACAGAAUUCCCUUAGGGGUAAGGCAGUCUGUGGCAGAGCUGGGAAUUGAAGGAGGAUCUCCCAAGUCCUAGGCUAGCUGCCCUAACCAUUGGAUAAUCUCUCCUCUACCUUUGGAGUAGGGACUUUUUGUUACAGUUGUACGUACCUAACACAAUGGGGCCUGGAUCUCAGGCUGGGCCCCUCCCCAUCACAUUGCGACAAAUACAAAAUGCAACAAGCCCCUUUCAAAUGAAAGGAAUAAUUCUUUUGAAAGAACAAGCUUCCAGGGCCCCAAAAGAGAAGAUGCCAUAGCAAAAUGAACUGGUGUAGCAAUAACACAUACAAUUAUUAUAAUCUAGACAUUUUGCAUACACUUUGGUGCUAGCAGAGACAUCCUUUGAGAAGUGGCUUGUGCAAGUGCAGCUUAUGGAAAGGUUCUACUGGUGUGUACAACUCAGUGUAUACUGCUUCAUCAGCAAAAAUAUCACACACAGAAACUGCACCAAAGUGCCUCUUUCUAAUAUAGAUUGGUAUUAAUUACUUAUAAUGUAUAUGUUGUGUUAGCAAUUUAAGAGCAACACAGAAUUCUGAGCUCUGUCAGGCGAUACACAGGAUAGAUAUAAUAUAGAAAAUAAAAAUUAUACCUUGUUACUAACUACUAAAUGAAUCUUUACAAGAUUAUACUUUAACAUCUGGUGACUACAAAAUACGACAUUUAGCUCUCCUUCACUUCUGUCAUUACCUUACAGUCAAAUAUCGAUUUGCAUUUGAAUAAAUUGCCCAGGGAGGUUGUGGAAUCUCUAUCAUUGGAGAUUUUUAAGAGUAGGUUAGAAAACACCUGUCCAGAAUGGUCUAAUACUUAGUCCUGCCAUGAGUGCAGGGGACUGGACUAGGUGACCUCUCAAGGUCCCUUCCAGUCCUGUGAUUCUGUGCCCUAUCUCAGAAAUACUAGCUUGAGCCUGAAUAUUUUUUUCUGCAUUUAUCCAACUCAUAAAUAAUUUUAUUUUCUCUGCAAUGUGAUAUUCUGUAUCAAUCAUUAAAAAAAUCCACUUAAACUUGGAUAUUGGAUAUUGUUAAUUUGGAAAACAAACAAACCAAAAAACCCUCCAAAAACCUAGAAUCCGAUGAAGUGAGCUGUAGCUCACGAAAGCUUAUGCUCAAAUAAAUUGGUUAGUCUCUAAGGUGUCACAAGUACUCCUUUUCUUUUAACCUAGAAUCUAACUGUCCAUCUUCAUUGACCUCAGUCUAUGGCAACUGACAAGAAAACCAGAAUAUAAUGGUUGGAUAAGGAUUGGGAAUAACUGAAUCUGGGCAAUUAAUAAAGCAGAAUGAAAUAUUGUCAGUGGACGAAAUUGAGAACUAAUUCAGAUUACCGUAGUUACCUCUCAUUGCUGAGUGCUUAGAAAUACCAUGCUACAAACCAAAGAGGCAAUAAUUUGAGCACAUUGAAAUUGAGAGCUUCAAAACUGCAUGAAUAAGUGUCAAUUCUAUGUGAAUAAUGAAAAAGUCAUACACUUUUGUAUGUAUGCAAAUGUCCACUAUCUACUUACUUACCCUUGAAAAAUACCUAUGACACUGUGACAGAGGUGGAUUCAUGUUCACAGACAUAAUGACUCUUGGCCUUAGGUACACAGAGAUUAGUCCAAUAUUUCAAUCUGUACUUCUCACUUUACCACACAGUAUCAGAUUACGCAGUGUAUCUUGCCCUCAAGGAAGUUGUGUAUGAUGGGAGGAGUAGAUAACGAAACCCGCUGGAGAAGAGAUGGCUCUUCUGAUUGUCUUCACCAGGCUUGGGUGAGAUUGCCCCCAGAGCCAGGAAUUCCAGAGACUAGACGCUGAAUAAUGGGAAUUUAUCAUCAAUGAAUGUAUCGUGUUGAGUCUGAAGUUAGUAUUGUUAGGCUAGGAUGGCAACCUUUCUAAACAGACAUGCUCACUAGAUAGUUUUGUUCCCUAGGGACUCGCAUAGUAAACUGCUGCUGAGUGCUGAAACCCACAAGCCUCUUCAACAGACAGACUAAUGAAGUUUAGGAAAUGCUGCUCCUAAACAACAAUUUGAAAAUAGAUACACAUAACAAAUACCUCCUUAAACCAGUGGUUUCCCCUGAAAGGGAAACCUACAUAAAGAAGCCUUCUAUCUUUGUCAGUUUUUCACCUUCUUGUCCUUGGACUUUAUAUAAAAUACAGAAAAGGACCUAUCUGCUCUAUUCCCAGUGAGGUGGCUGGUUUCUUGUAUUCUGUAAAGAAAGAUCAUUCUUGAUUUAUUAUAUUUUUGUAGAUUGGUGCUUUGCAUCUUACUGUACCCUUUUCCCUAUUUUGUGAGUGUGUGUGUGUGCUUGUCUGUGUACUGUACAGCCGACUUACAAUAAACUUUUAGUUUUAAAA